GAGAAAAUGAAGUCAAGAAAGGCUAAGUACCUUAGUUAUGGUUACUAUUGCUGUGCUAACACAAUGACCAAAAGUAACUUGAGGAGGAAAGGGUUUAUUUGGCUUACACUGUCCAUCAUCAAAGGAAGUCAGGGCAGGAACUCAAGCAGGGCCGGAACCUGAAGGCAGGAACUGAUUCAGAGGUCAUGGAGGGGUGCUGCUUACUGGAUUGCUCCUCAUGGCUUGCUCAGCCUGCUUUUUUUUAUAGAACCCAGGACUACCAGCCCAGGGAUGGAAACACCUACAAUGGAUUGGGCUCUCCCCUACUGAUCACAAAUUAAGAAAAUGCCCUAUAGGCUUACUACAACUUUAUCUUAUAGAGCCCUGCAGCAAGGGUGGAGGUGACACCAUUGCCCUGCAGGUAACAAGGCUGAAACUCAAGGAGUUAAGUCACUUGCCCUCAGUGCUCACUUAGCUGGGCACUCAGCCCACCUGGCUCUGAGCGUGCACCCUGACCCAGCUGGAGAUGGUUGCAGGGUGAGAGCAAGUCUCUCAUGACUUUCAGGCUCCUCUGGGCCGUGAGCUGCCUGGCAGGGAGCCAGGAGCGGCUGGUUUCCCUCUGGCCCUGUCCACACUCUAGAAGCACUCAGCUCAAGCUGAUAGGCGUGCAGGUGUCGCGAGAUGGCUCUGACACAGACAGGAGCCCUCUGUGG
rnacentral:lncRNA from 1 species